rnacentral:tRNA from 1 species
AUUCAAAUAGCUUAAACAUAAAGCACAAUAUUGAAGAUAUUAAGAUACUAAAAGUUUUGAAUG